UGAGCGCCUCAAAUUUGGACACAGUGGGACAAAGACCUGGAAUCUCAGGGCCUGAAAGUGGUUCUUGGUAGCCUGUGCACCUAGGAAGGCAACAUGGACCGGGUGAUUGCUUAAAUUGCUCGGGGCAGUCCACGCGUACACAGCUGAAGUCUUCUUUAGCUACCACAUCACACUGACAGAGAAAAUACGAGCCUGGUUAGGUAGGAAGGUCAGAACAGUCUUAUUCUAGGAGGGCAGCAGUGCUCACAGCCAGAGCCUGUAAACGGCGGGUGAAUUGCACCAGAUGGUAUGUGUCCCUUCCAUUAAUAUAAAAAUACAGGGCAUUAAUCUAGACAUGGUCCUUUCCCAUCUACGGACCCUGCCCACCAUCUUCAAGACCUGACUUUUAGGAAGCAUUUUCCCACUGUUCUACCGCGUAAGUUUGUACACUGUCUGAGCCGUCUUUUGUCCUCAGGAAACAAAAAAAUAGCACGGGCUUCACACAGUCGGGAGGAUUCAAUGAGAUUCUAUCAGGUGCCUAGCACAUAGGAGGCACUCCAUAAAGGAGAGCUGCCUCUUGUCCUGUCAGGCUGGAAGCCCCCUGGAUAGUCUAUUCUAGAGGAACGGAGAGCUUCAUAAGAAUUGCUUCUUCGUAGCUGUGAGGCCGUGGGCAUGUGAAGAGCCAGGAAUACGAAACACAAAAAACAUUACGACUACAUGGCACCUCGGGAACGAGGAGGAAAGCCUCAGCCUAACAACGACACGCAGCAGUAAAGUCGGCAGCUUUCCCUUUAAGUAGGGCGGGCCGCCCCGCGGACGGAGCCCUCCGGAAGUCGCUGCGCGCCGCCACGAGAUCAGAUUCCUCCGCCGAGCGCGGCGCCGGGUCCCCCGGCUUCGCCCCUGUCUGCACCAGACUUGCUCCUCUCCCCGCCGCCCGACGGCAACAGGUCUUCCGGCUGCCGCUUCUCCGGCCGAUACUGCCGGUGACCUGCCCGCCGGCGCUCGGGCCUAGGCCUGGCCUGGUCUGCGGAGGCCGCCGCACGCCGCCGGCGGAACCUGGCCCCGAGCCCGCCACGCACUUCCGGCGACGCCAGGCGGGGACUGAGGCGGGCGGGGCGCGGCGCGGCGGCCCUGAUGGACGCGCUGGCGGUCCUGAUGCAGGCUUCCUGACCCAGAACGAUGUCCUGCGCAGGGAGAACACCAGCUCAUGGGCCAGGGUUCUGACUGUUGUGACAAACACAAAAGGACAGAUUGCCAGAUGCAAACAAGGCAGCAUCAUCGCUUAAUUCCUAGGCAGACAUCCUACAACGUGGGCCUUCUGGAUGUGGAGACUACACGGGACUUCAUACCGCAUCUCCUCUGGAUUUUAGACAGCUGAGGCCUGAAUUGCAAUAAUCCAACUGAGAAAGGAAAGAGUUUUAGUGUAAGGUGGAGGUGAAAGAAGUGGAGAGAAGGACAUAGAUUUGAGGUAUGUUUUGGAGAUAGAAAUGACAAGCCUUAUAGAUAAAUACGAUGUGCGAAGUGUUUCUUCCUCUCUCCCCAGUCAGGAAUAUUGGACUUUCCAUUUCUAUCUUUCUACAUCCUCUUAUUCCUCCCCAAGGGAGGAGGAGGGGAUAAAGUAAUUAGUCAGAGCUCACUAGUCUUUGGACAUCCUUUUCCUUGUGGAUGAGACAUGGAGAUACACUUCCUGUGCUCAGGCAGAGCUGGUCCUCUGGUGCUUAUUGUUGCACUGCAGGGUGAUAGUAUGCCAAUAGCCUCCUAACUACAUCCCUUCUUACUCCCUUCCAGUCCAUCGUUCACACUGGUCAUGGUUACUUCUUUUGUUUAAUUUCUCCAAAUAGUUCACUUAAUUUACCUGGAGAGAUUUGGAAAUCUAUUUUUGGCCUACAACAGUGGAGAUAUUACUAAGAAGCAUCUCCAGUCAAGUUUGUUCUUUGCUUUGGUGCAGGAAUGGCAUUGCCAUUUUUAUGAUAUAAUACUGUAUGUCUCUCACUGGACUUCAUUGUUGGAAGCCACUCCUUUGUCAGGUGACUGUAAAAAACUGCAUCAAAAAAAAUAGAGCCACACAGAAUCUCCAGUUGUUUUAAAAAUAAGAAAAGAAUAGGUUGGUAGAGAUAUUUUCCAUUUUUGAAAGGGUUAUUAAAAAUGAAAUAAAAAAAGUUCAUUACAAGUUAUGAAAAAUGCAUUGACCUUUGAAGUUCAAACAAGCUCAAAAAGAGCAGGAUAAUUAAAGAAGACAAGCAAAAAGUUUAAAAACAUAUAUGAAGCUUUACUAAUGAGCAUGUUUAAAAUAAAUAAUGUAUCUUCAUGAGUUAUUGAUGAUCUUAUAAUUCAUAAGUGCUGAGAAAAACAUAACGAACGAUUUGUAAAAAGUCAUCAAAAGCAAGUAAGAACACAGCCAGCUCAUUGCUUAUCGUGUAACUGAUUAAAGUUCUAUCUAGAAAGUAGAAAGGUAAAAAAAAAAAAAAAGAAAAGGAGUGGGUAACAGAAAGGUAUGGGUACUUGGUUGAAUAAUAUCUCCCCAAAAUUCAUGUCCACUCAGAAGUUCAGAAUGUGACCUUAUAUAGAAAUAGGAUUUCUGCAGAUUUAAUGAUAAAGAUGAUAAGUAGAUAAAGAUGAGGUCAUGCUGAAUUAGGGUGGGCCCUAAAUCCAAUAUGAGUAGUGUCCUGAUAAGGAGAGGAUGUAGAGAGACAGAGACACCCAGGGGAGAAAGGCAGGUGACAGACGGAGACUGAAUGAUGCAGCUGCAAGCCAAGGAAUGCCAAGGAUUGCGGGCCACCACCAGAAGCUAGAAGAGAGGAUGGGACAGCUUCUUCCCUGGAACCUCAGAAGGAUCAUGGCCCUGCUGACACCUUGAUUGCAGACUUUAGACCUCCAGAACCACGAGAGAAUAUGUUUCUGUUUUCUCAAGCCACCCCAUUUCUGGUACUUUGUUACGGAAACUCUAGUAAAUUAAUAUAGGGUCAAAAAAGAAAAGAAUUUCAAUUAGUAUUUAAUAUCAGAAAGUAAAUAAUUACUUAAAGAAAAGAACACGGAAAGAUCAUAGUGACUGGACCAUGAUUCCUAACUCAAAUAUUGAAUUCAAUGUUUCUAUUUGCCAAAAUCUGUGAGCCACAUAUCUUUUAAGUUAUAAGCAGUCCUAUAUUUGAAUAUCAAUUCUAUUUAACAAAUAUUCAGUUAUCCUUUAGAAGCCUAGGGGUGCUAAGAGUUGGGGUUGAUAAAAUAGAGAAUUUUAUAAACAAUAGGCCUCAAGUAAUUUCACUUGUUAGAAAAACAAUAAAUAACCAAGGGACUAAGUGUAAUAAAAGAAGAUAUAUUUCAAAGUACUACAUUAGGCUGUAGUUAAGGUCCAAAAGGGAAGAUAGAAAUUAUAAUGGACAUGAAGCAUCAAAAAGAGGACCAGCUGAAUCCAUUGUGUAUACUUCCCAGAAAUCAAGGAACUUAGUGGGCCUUCAGAAAUAUUUGAGAUGUGGUGAGGCUGAGUUAAAAGAAGCUGGGUGGAGGUCAACAUUUAAACAUAGCUCCCUUAUAGAGAUCCAUUGUAACAGCCUCUGGACAACAGGAGCAGAUGUUCAUUCUCUGCUCUGGUUUUCCUGAUACUCUCUCUAUUUGUGUCUUCCUUGUGGAAUUGUGGCACUCAGGGUAGUCAACUAUUGCAGGGUUAGAAUUCAUCAUGAUUCUAGAAUCAAUUACUAUUAAUUGUCAGUAGUAUGAAGGGGCUUGUGACCAUUAAUAGCACCAAAGGACAUAGAUCAGUAAAAGAUAUGAAAAGUGAAAAGUACAAAACAAUUUUGAAGCAUGUUAUUUAUAAGUAUAGGAGUUAAAAUUUUUUGCUUCAAAUUAAUCAUUCUUCAUAACACACUAUUCUGUAAUUAUUCUCAUUUAACAUAACUAAAACUUGGAAAUUUUAUUUUAAAAUACAAAUAGUUAAUGUCCAAUUGUCAUUUACUUUAAAAGUCUAUUUUUGUAUUUCAAAAUCAACACUGUUCAUAUCCUAAUAACUGAUUAACAUUGGUAACCAGAUGUUUGGGAAGUUGCCUUAUUGUUGAAUUAAAUUACAAUUAAGUACACCUAUCCUCAAUUGCAAAAUCCUGUCACUUUCACAUGUUCAUAUUUUCAUAAUGCCAUUUAAAAUAUUCUA
rnacentral:lncRNA from 1 species